rnacentral:rRNA from 1 species
UACGUAGGGUGCGAGUGUUGUCCGGAAUUACUGGGCGUAAAGAGCUCGUAGGUGGUUUGUCGCGUCGUCUGUGAAAUUCCGGGGCUUAACCUCGGGCGUGCAGGCGAUACGGGCAAUACUUGAGUGCUGUAGGGGAGACUGGAAUUCCUGGUGUAGCGGUGAAAUGCGCAGAUAUCAGGAGGAACACCGAUGGCGAAGGCAGGUCUCUGGGCAGUAACUGACGCUGAGGAGCGAAAGCAUGGGUAGCGAACAGGAUUAGAUA